rnacentral:misc_RNA from 1 species
GUGAAUCAUCGAAUUUUUGAACGCAAAUUGCACUCUCUUCGGGGAGUAUGCCUGUUUGAGGGUCAGCCUAAAAAAAAAAUCGACAUAGUCGCUGUUUCGCGGUUACAUUCGUCGGGCAUUGGAUCAUCUUAAACUUUUGGGUUUUAAUCGGCGUAAAAUUGUCUUUACGUUUCCACAACCGUUUCUAAGAAUUACUUCUUACAAUUUUA